AGCUUUGCGCAGUGGCAGUAUUGUAGCCAAUGAGGUUUAUCUGAGGCGCAAUUAUUGCUAAAAUAGAUGUUAAGUGAAAAUUGACAGUGCUUAAUGCAUACCUUAGGAAUUCAUUUCUUGUUCACCUUGUCAGGU
rnacentral:snRNA from 1 species